rnacentral:tRNA from 1 species
GAGGGUAUAGCUCAGUGGUAGAGCACAUGCUUAGCAUGCAUAAGGUCUUGGGUUCAAUCUUCAGGUUCUCC